AGGAAUCUGCCCGGUAGUGGGGGCAUAACCUGGGGAAACCCAGGCUAAUACCGCAUACGUCCUACGGGAGAAAGCAGGGGAUCUUCGGACCUUGCGCUAUCGGAUGAGCCUAUGUCGGAUUAGCUUGUUGGUGAGGUAAAGGCUCACCAAGGCGACGAUCCGUAGCUGGUCUGAGAGGAUGAUCAGCCACAUCGGGACUGAGACACGGCCCGAACUCCUACGGGAGGCAGCAGUGGGGAAUAUUGGACAAUGGGCGAAAGCCUGAUCCAGCCAUGCCGCGUGUGUGAAGAAGGCUUUCGGGUUGUAAAGCACUUUCAGUGAGGAAGAAGGCCUUGGGGCUAAUACCCCCGAGGAAGGACAUCACUCACAGAAGAAGCACCGGCUAACUCCAUGCCAGCAGCCGCGGUAAUACGGAGGGUGCGAGCGUUAAUCGGAAUUACUGGGCGUAAAGCGCGCGUAGGCGGCGUGAUAAGCCGGUUGUGAAAGCCCCGGGCUCAACCUGGGAACGGCA
rnacentral:rRNA from 1 species